GACGAACGCUGGCGGCGUGCUUAACACAUGCAAGUCGAACGGAAAGGCCCUGCUUUUGUGGGGUGCUCGAGUGGCGAACGGGUGAGUAACACGUGAGUAACCUGCCCUUGACUUUGGGAUAACUUCAGGAAACUGGGGCUAAUACCGGAUAGGAGCUCCUGCUGCAUGGUGGGGGUUGGAAAGUUUCGGCGGUUGGGGAUGGACUCGCGGCUUAUCAGCUUGUUGGUGGGGUAGUGGCUUACCAAGGCUUUGACGGGUAGCCGGCCUUAGAGGGUGACCGGCCACAUUGGGACUGAGAGACGGACCAGACGCGUACGGGAGGCAGCAGUGGGGAAUAUUGCACAAUGGGCGGAAGCCUGAUGCAGCAACGCCGCGUGCGGGAUGACGGCCUUCGGGUGGUAAACCGCUUUCGCCUGUGACGAAGCGUGAGUGACGGUAAUGGGUAAAGAAGCACCGGCUAACUACGUG
rnacentral:rRNA from 1 species